CGCGGGGGGGGCACUCAGCUGUUGUUUAGGUGGUGUGGGCGGGGCUCUCUAGCCGAGUGGGUACGACCCGCCGCCCGCUCUCAUGAAGAAUUCUGCUGCCGCUGCGGAUGGAAAGAGGGGCGCGACGGAAGCCGACGAGGAACAACACCGGCCCACCGCAGGACAGGCGGGAGCUCUACUCAAGGAGGGGCAGCCGCGGUCCCGUGGCUCUGGGCCAUCGGGCCCGUAGGGAGGGGUAGCCCGUUGAUUGGUUGCCCACGCCAGUGGUGACGUGAGGCCGCUCAAGCUUGUUCUCUGUUUUCCGUUCUGAGCCGGAGCACCGGGCGGGGCGUGUGAGGCUCUUGCCCCCACCCCUCGCAGCGCUCAGCGACCUGCCCCGGCCCCAACACGUCCCGUUAUUUGCUAUUGGGGCCGGGUCACGUGGUCCUGGUUUUCUCUGCCCCGCGGUGAGGCGGAAGCUCUUGGGAGCAGGCGGGACUCUGGUGGGGUGACCUGACUCCGGGGCCGAGCGUCCAGGGAAGCCCCAAACCCUGCGAGAUCAGUGACAAGAGGGACUGUCCGGUUUGGCCAAUGUACAUGGCAGAGGGGCAUUGCUGGCACAUGAUGGCAUAUAUAACAUUAGUGGAUGUGCAGGACGACAUACAUAGGAGUGACUGCAGCCCUAGAGAUGCAAUAGCUUCUGUAGUCCCUGCAUGAAGAGCUGAAUCAGGAUCCAAAAUGGACUGCUUGCCUACCUGUAUCUGAACUCAGGCUUCCUCCUUCUUAAAAGGGCCACCAAGACAUUCCACUUAACCAACAAAGGCCCUGAUUCUUUACUGUCUUCAAUUAGCCGCAAAACUCAUUUAAAAAAAGUAUUCAUCACUAGCCUGAUAGCUGAGUUCCCACCCCCAUAUCAUAAACCUGUAUAAGAGUUGUUGUUCUGUCCCUGACUUGUUAAUUAGCACUUAUUCAGGGCACACAAUUAGUCUUGAAGGUGGCAUUGUUAUUGACUGAACAUACUAACUCCUUGAGAAAAUUCUGACUACUUCACAUUCCUGAAAAUUAAUCCUGAAACCUUCCUGAAUUAUAAUAAUCAGCUCCUUUAACUUUCUUUCCUGUGAAGAAGGUGGAGGCCAGCAGUGUCACUGAAGAGCAGGUGGUCCUCCCAGGCUCAUUAGUACCUUUCCUUUUCCUUUUAAAAUCCUUGAUGCCAAGAAUGCUAUUCAUAGUUUUUACAGGGCUCUGUUGGCUUGUCCUACCUCUGCUGCUAACCACCAUUUGUCUGCCUUUCCCACUCUAUUAAAUCAGCAACCUAUGACAGCACCUCAAAACUUGUAGAAGCUGCAGCUCUAGAACGAUGUGGUAGGUCUGAAGCAGAUUGAGGGCAUCCAGCAGGGAUGGACAGAUGGAGAUAAUUAAACACUGCCUGUUUUUGAAAGAUAGAGGAAAAUGGAGCACAGGAUGAUGGCAAGAGGGGAAUAAGUUGGGGGAUGAAGGAACUCCUGUAAAUAAAUGGUUUGUUGAGAAUUUAAAGGGAUAUUCUAGGUACACCAAUGAACAAGAGAUGAUGAUUUGAGAUCAAGGGACCCCAUAGCACAACAAGAAGUCACUUGAAGUAAAUGGGAGCUACAUUAAAAACCAAUGCAGGGAAAUACUUUUUCGCACUGGUAGUAGUCAGCCUCCAAAAUUCACUACUUCAGGGUGUUAGAAAGCAAAAUACUUGCAGCUGGGUUUUUUUUAUGACCAGUGAGAACAUUUGUAGUUCUAUAUACUAAGAUGGGUAUAAUCAGAUGUAAUGCUUCAGAAUGUGUGCUGAUUGCUGCAGAGUUCAGGAAGGAAUUGUUUCCUCCCACGUACAAUGCAGUAUUUCUUGACUGGCCAAGUAGGUUACUAGGAUUGUCCUCUGAAGCAUCAGGACUAGCCAUCUCUGGAAAGAGAAUACUAGAUUUGAUGGAAAACUGGUUCAGCCUGGAAUAGCAAAUCCUAUCUUCCAAACACUAAUGAUGAUGGGUAACAUGGCAAAAAAAUCCUUUCUGUUAUGGUAACUGGGGCCUUCAAAUGAUGACAGCAUAGAAUCAUAGAAAUGUAGGGCUGGAAGGGAUCUCAAGAGAGCAUCUAGUCCAACCUCCCCACCCCCACUGAGGCAAGACCAAGUAUACCUAGACCAUCCCCGACAGAUGUUUUUCUAACC